AACGAACGCUGGCGGCAUGCCUAACACAUGCAAGUCGAACGAGAUCUUCGGGUCUAGUGGCGCACGGGUGCGUAACGCGUGGGAAUCUGCCCUUUGGUUCGGAAUAACAGUUGGAAACGACUGCUAAUACCGGAUGAUGACGAAAGUCCAAAGAUUUAUCGCCAGAGGAUGAGCCCGCGUAGGAUUAGCUAGUUGGUGUGGUAAAGGCGCACCAAGGCGACGAUCCUUAGCUGGUCUGAGAGGAUGAUCAGCCACACUGGGACUGAGACACGGCCCAGACUCCUACGGUAGGCAGCAGUGGGGAAUAUUGGACAAUGGGCGAAGGCCUGAUCCAGCAAUGCCGCGUGAGUGAUGAAGGCCUUAGGGUUGUAAAGCUCUUUUACCCGGGAUGAUAAUGACAGUACCGGGAGAAUAAGCUCCGGCUAACUCCGUGCAGCAGCCGCCGUAA
rnacentral:rRNA from 1 species